GGCUUCCCCAUGUGUGCUCCAGCCGUCAGCCGGCCCAGCUGAGCAGCAGCAACGGACCUUGUUACCAGCGCAGCAGCCUCCACCGCUUGCUGUUGCCCUCCUCUCUCGGUGGUCUGUCCGCACAGCGCACGUCACCAUGGGCAAGAGCCGGACGAAGCGCUUCAAGCGACCUCAGUUCUCCCCUACGGGCGACUGUCAGGCCGAGGCGGCUGCGGCGGCGAAUGGGACCGGAGGCGAGGAGGACGACGGGCCGGCGGCGGAGCUGCUGGAAAAGAAAUCUCAGUGCUUGUGGAGGUUUUGAAGUUUGUGAUAACAUGGUGACUAAGGAUAUCAUGACCCCUCUGGUUGCGCUGCUAAAAGAGAUGACAAAGCCGAGGCACAGACAUUAGGAACUUGUGAAGAUUACAUGUAGUGCUGGACUGGAUUCAAAUGAGAUGUCUCUACAGGAGAAAAAAGAUCAGAACAGAA
rnacentral:sRNA from 1 species